rnacentral:rRNA from 1 species
AUGAGUGUCUUUAAAUUACCUGCAUCAGUAUGUGAUGAGGUCACUCGUAUGAUCCGCCAGUACUGGUGGGGCAUCAAGAAGAAGAUGGCAUGGAUGAGUUGGGAUAAGUUGCGACUACCGAAGCAGAUGGGUGGCAUGGGGUUUAAGGAUAUGAGGGCUUUCAAUAAAGCCUUACUGGCCAAACAAGCUUGGCGUUUGCUUGACACGCCAGAUAACCUAUGCGAACGUCUCAUGAAGGCUCGAUACUACCCGUCUGGUCAGCUGUUGGAUACCUCGUUUUCUGGCAACGGUUCUUCAGUUUGGAAGGGGAUCCUUCAUGGUCUUGAACGGCUG